rnacentral:rRNA from 1 species
AUUGAACGCUGGCGGCAGGCCUAACACAUGCAAGUCGAGCGAGCGGCGGACGGGUGAGUAAUGUAUGGGGACUGCCCGAUAGCGGGGGAUAACUACUGGAAACGGUAGCUAAUACCGCAUACUAUCGGAUAACCCAUAUGGGAUUGGCUUGUAGGUGAGGUAACGGCUCACCUAGGCGACUAUCCCUAGCUGGUCUGCGAGGAUGAUCAGCCACACUGGGACGGAGACACGGCCCAGACUCCUACGGAGGCAGCAGUGGGGAAUAUUGCACAAUGGGCGCAAGCCUGAUGCAGCCAUGCCGCGUGUAUGAAGAAGGCCUUCGGGUUGUAAAGUACUUUCAGUCGGGAGGCGUUACCGACAGAAGAAGCACCGGCUAACUCUGUGCCAGCAGCCGCGGUAAUUC